AUUGAACGCUGGCGGCAGGCCUAACACAUGCAAGUCGAGCGGAUGAAGGGAGCUUGCUCCUGGAUUCAGCGGCGGACGGGUGAGUAAUGCCUAGGAAUCUGCCUGGUAGUGGGGGAUAACGUCCGGAAACGGGCGCUAAUACCGCAUACGUCCUGAGGGAGAAAGUGGGGGAUCUUCGGACCUCACGCUAUCAGAUGAGCCUAGUUCGGAUUAGCUAGUUGGUGGGGUAAAGGCCUACCAAGGCGACGAUCCGUAACUGGUCUGAGAGGAUGAUCAGUCACACUGGAACUGAGACACGGUCCAGGCUCCUACGGGAGGCAGCAGUGGGGAAUAUUGGACAAUGGGCGAAAGCCUGAUCCAGCCAUGCCGCGUGUGUGAAGAAGGUCUUCGGAUUGUAAAGCACUUUAAGUUGGGAGGAAGGGCAGUAAGUUAAUACCUUGCUGUUUUGACGUUACCAACAGAAUAAGCACCGGCUAACUUCGUG
rnacentral:rRNA from 1 species